GCCUACAGGUGAUUGGACCUCCUAGCCCAGGCUCCAAAGUAGUACUCUGGGCCAAGAGCCGCCUACCACGCCAAACUUGGAGCAUCAGUGAAUUGGGUCACAUCUGCAGCCAGAUGUUUGAAGGCCAGAUCCUCGAUGUGAAGGGUGGCCGAGGUUAUGACCGGGACCACGUGGUGCUCUGGGAACCAAACAAGAAGAACAGGCCUUCCCAGAUCUGGACUGUCUACGUACUUUGAACCAGUUCCAACCCAUUUCCUGCUGGAGGCUUUUGCUGAGAUGAAAUGUUUUUUCUAGA